UUCCGGUUGAUCCUGCCGGACCUGACUGCUAUCGGAUUGAUACUAAGCCAUGCGAGUCUUUGUAGUAAUACAAGGCAUACGGCUCAGUAACGCGUAGUCAACCUAACCUAUGGACGGGAAUAACCUCGGGAAACUGAGAAUAAUGCCCGAUAGAACAUUAUGCCUGGAAUGGUUUAUGUUCCAAAUGAUUUAUCGCCAUAGGAUGGGACUGCGGCCUAUCAGUUUGUUGGUGAGGUAAUGGCCCACCAAGACUAUUACAGGUACGGGCUCUGAGAGGAGUAGCCCGGAGAUGGGUACUGAGACACGGACCCAGGCCCUAUGGGGCGCAGCAGGCGAGAAAACUUUGCAAUGUGCGAAAGUACGACAAGGUUAAUCCGAGUGAUUUCUGCUAAAGAGAUCUUUUGUUAGUCCUAGAAACACUAACGAAUAAGGGGUGGGCAAGUUCUGGUGUCAGCCGCCGCGGUAAAACCAGCACCUCAAGUGGUCAGGAUGAUUAUUGGGCCUAAAGCAUCCGUAGCCGGCUCUGUAAGUUUUCGGUUAAAUCUGUACGCUCAACGUACAGGCUGCCGGGAAUACUGCAGAACUAGGGAGUGGGAGAGGUAGACGGUACUCGGUAGGAAGUGGUAAAAUGCUUUGAUCUAUCGAUGACCACCUGUGGCGAAGGCGGUCUACCAGAACACGUCCGACGGUGAGGGAUGAAAGCUGGGGGAGCAAACCGGAUUAGAUACCCGGGUAGUCCCAGCUGUAAACUAUGCAAACUCAGUGAUGCAUUGGCUUGUGGCCAAUGCAGUGCUGCAGGGAAGCCGUUAAGUUUGCCGCCUGGGAAGUACGUACGCAAGUAUGAAACUUAAAGGAAUUGGCGGGGGAGCACCACAAGGGGUGAAGCCUGCGGUUCAAUUGGAUUCAACGCCGGG
rnacentral:rRNA from 1 species